UUAUGAUCAGUUUCAUUUGCUUUGGUAUUUUCUUUGAAGGGAUGAAUUUUGAAGCAUCUGGUUGGGUCUAUGUCCAGAACAAUGUUGGCGAAGGCUCUGAUUUUGGAUAGAAAGCUUAUCAAAGUUAUUAAGUUUGGCUUGUCAGAUGCUUCUAGAUUAUACUCGAGAGAUGAGAAACUGAUUGCAGAUAUUCACCAACAUCAUGGCAGAUUAUUCAUUUCUACUUUCAAUUGGUUUGUUGCAGUCCGUAGAAGCUCUCUCUUGGUGAUUCUCUUUAUAUUGAAGUUCCAGUUGAUACUAGUUGCCUGACAAAUUGGUUUUAUAUUGCUUGUGUGUUGGAAUCAAAAGUUACUUGGCCACGAGCUCGCACAAUCCCUCUACAUUGAUUCACCUCCCAUUCUCUCCAAAACUGUUACUCUUUUAUCUUCGUUUUCUGGGCGUUCUCCGUCGACCCUUCUUCAUUUUUGUUUUCCGUUUCUUGAUUGAUUGAUUGUUGAUGGGGCAAAUUGCUUUCUUUGUCUUGAUUUUGUGAAGCAUCAUCUGGUUGCAGAGGUCCACCCCUAUACUGCGGAGAUUCUUGAAGGUUUCGCUUGCCCUACAAUCUUUAUUGGCGUCUGGCAAUAUCAUCUUCUUCCAGAGAGAAGAAGUAGCGAUUAUCCUGAUUGAGCGUUCUCCAUCAGCCUUUCUCCUUUUUGGUUUCUGUUUCUUGAUUGAUUGUUGAUCGGGGAUUGAUUGCUUUCUCGGUCUGAUUUUGUGAAGCAUUUGGUUGCAGAAGACUAAAUGUUGCGGAGAUUUUUGAGGGUUUGGCUCGGCCUACGAUGCCUAUUUGGUUAUUGGAUUCUUUGGUUUAUGCCUCGUCCCUUCAAUCGCUUAGUGAUUUAUUGACCGAUCGAUUGAACUUUGGGUUGUUGUUUUGACCAGCUCAUUCUGGAUUCUCGUUGUUCGGUGAAUUGGCAGUGUGGCUUCUUUCUUUCAUAUGAGGAUGCUGUCGCAGCAAGUGUUUGGUU